rnacentral:rRNA from 1 species
UACGUAGGUGGCAAGCGUUGUCCGGAUUUAUUGGGUUUAAAGGGUGCGUAGGCGGUCUUAUAAGUCAGUGGUGAAAUACGGCAGCUCAACUGUCGAGGUGCCAUUGAUACUGUAGGACUUGAGUACAGACGUGGUAGGCGGAAUUGACGGUGUAGCGGUGAAAUGCUUAGAUAUCGUCAAGAACACCGAUAGCGAAGGCAGCUUACUAGGCUGUAACUGACGCUGAGGCACGAAAGUGUGGGGAUCAAACAGG